CAAUAAUUUCUACAAUCAUCACUAGGAAAGGCUGGGUGAAUUAACAGAACUCUCCCAUUCCCUGCAGUGGUGGCCAUCUUUGUGUUACCGCAGGGCAGGUUGUGUGGAGGCGCCCAUAACUGCUGGUACACUGGGUAAGCCACCAUUCUCCCUUCCAGUGUUGGGCCUUCAAUGACUGAUUACCUGACUGAUCAAUCCUCCUGAUUACCUGACUGGUUAGAUAUACAGCAAACUACUAAUAAGAAAAAAAAUAUAAAUUAUUAUUUAUACCCAAGUACUUAGUAAUAUUAACAACAUAGUUUGAC